UACGUAGGGUGCGAGCGUUAAUCGGAAUUACUGGGCGUAAAGCGUGCGCAGGCGGUCUGUUAAGACCGAUGUGAAAUCCCCGGGCUUAACCUGGGAACUGCAUUGGUGACUGGCAGGCUUUGAGUGUGGCAGAGGGAGGUAGAAUUCCACGUGUAGCGGUGAAAUGCGUAGAUAUCUGGAGGAACACCGGUGGCGAAGGCGACAUCCUGGACCGGUAUUGACGCUGAGGCGCGAAAGCCAGGGGAGCAAACGGG
rnacentral:rRNA from 1 species